AUAUCAAUAAGCGGAGGAAAAGAAAAUAACAAUGAUUCCCCUAGUAACUGCGAGUGAAGAGGGACAAGCUCAAAUUUUAAAUCUAUCGGGUUUUACCCGAUCGAGUUGUAAUUUGAAGAAGCGUUUUCUGCGUUUUUGGUCAGCCCAAGUCCUAUUGAAUGAGGCAUCAUGGAGGGUGAUAAUCCCGUCCGGUUGAUCAUUUGCGUUUUACGAUACGCUUUCUAAGAGUCAAGUUGUUUGGGAUUGCAGCUUAAAAUGGGAGGUAAAUUUCUCCUAAGGCUAAAUAACGGCGAGAGACCGAUAGCGAACAAGUACCGUGAGGGAAAGAUGAAAAGAACUUUGAAAAGAGAGUUAAACAGUACGUGAAAUUGUUGAAAGGGAAACGAUUGAAGCCAGUCGUACCUUCGGGUAAUCAGCCUUUCGGGUGCGAUUCUGUGGAGUGUGAUGAGCUUAACACCUUCAUGCUUUGCAUAUUUGUGCUCUUGGGUGUACUUGCCCGUGUGGUUGGUUAACAUCAAUUUUGGUUAUCAUAAAAUGAUUGGAGGAAUGUAGCUUCGAUCUCGUAUUGAAGUGUUAUAGCCUUCGGUAGAUGUGAUGAACGAGAUUGAGGAUUGCAACGGAUACCCUUCGGGGCUACCUGUCUGGUCUCUGAUCGUUGCUCUGGUGCCGAAAGCUUGCUUACGGUCAUCAAAGUCGAUGGUCAAUAGGUUAGAACGGGUUAAAUUCGUUAAGGAUGUUGACGUAAUGGCUUUAAACGACCCGUCUUGAAACACGGACCAAGGAGUCUAACAUAUAUGCGAGUGUUAGGGUGAUUAAACCCUUACGCGUAAUGAAAGUAAUUUUGGUGGGAACAUUUUUGUGCACCAUCGACCGAUCAGGAUAUUUUUUGAUAGAUUUGAGUAAGAGCAUAUCUGCUAGGACCCGAAAGAUGGCGAACUAUGCCUGAAUAGGGUGAAGUCAGAGGAAACUCUGAUGGAGGCUCGUAGCGGUUCUGACGUGCAAAUCGAUCGUCAAAUUUGGGUAUAGGGGCGAAAGACUAAUCGAACCAUCUAGUAGCUGGUUCCUGCCGAAGUUUCCCUCAGGAUAGCAGAAACUCGUUAACAGUUUUAUGAGGUAAAGCGAAUGAUUAGAGGCCUUAGGGUUGAAACAGCCUUAACCUAUUCUCAAACUUUAAAUAUGUAAGAAGUUUAUCGUUACUUAAUUGAACGUGAACAUUCGAAUGAGAGUUUCUAGUGGGCCAUUUUUGGUAAGCAGAACUGGCGAUGCGGGAUGAACCGAACGUGAGGUUAAGGUGCCAAAAUUUACGCUCAUUUAGAUACCACAAAAGGUGUUAGUUCAUCUAGACAGCAGGACGGUGGCCAUGGAAGUCGGAAUCCGCUAAGGAGUGUGUAACAAACUCACCUGCCGAAUGAACUAGCCCUGAAAAUGGAUGGCGCUCAAGCGUAAUACCUAUACCUCACCUUUAAGGUUAAAGUGAAGCCUUAAAGAGUAGGCAGGCGUGGAGGUUUUGUUAUAAAGCUUUAAGAGUGAUCUUGAGUGGAACAACCUCUAGUGCAGAUCUUGGUGAUAGUAGCAAAUAUUCAAAUGAGAACUUUGAAGACUGAAGUGGAGAAAGGUUCCAUGUGAACAGUGAUUGGACAUGGGUUAGUCGAUCCUAAGAGAUAGGGAAGUUCCGUUUUAAAAGGCGGCAUUCGUGUCGCACCUAUCGAAAGGGAAGUAGGUUAAUAUUCCUACACCAGGAUGUGGAUAAUUAAUACGGUAACGUAAGUGAACUUGGUGACGUCAGGGAGGACCCCGGGGAGAGUUAUCUUUUCUUUUUAACAAUCCUAAAAGACCAUGGAAUUUCGGAUUAACCGGAGAUAUGGUAUUUUGAUUGCAAGAGCCCGACACUUAGUUAGGUCCGGUGCGUUCUCAAUGACCCUUGAAAAACCAAGGGAAAGAUUUAUUCUCACACCUGGUCGUACUCAUAACCGC
rnacentral:rRNA from 1 species